rnacentral:rRNA from 1 species
UACGUAGGGGGCAAGCGUUGUCCGGAAUCAUUGGGCGUAAAGAGCGUGUAGGCGGCCAGAUAAGUCCGAUGUGAAAUCUCGAGGCUCAACUUCGAGCUGGCGGUGGAAACUGUCUGGCUAGAGUCCGGGAGAGGAGAAUGGAAUUCCUGGUGUAGCGGUGAAAUGCGCAGAUAUCAGGAAGAACACCCGUGGCGAAGGCGGUUCUCUGGGACGGUACUGACGCUGAUGCGCGAAAGCGUGGGGAGCGAACAGG